CAGCCGCCGCGGGAAUACGUAGGUGGCAAGCGUUGUCCGGAAUUAUUGGGCGUAAAGGGCUCGCAGGCGGUUUCUUAAGUCUGAUGUGAAAGCCCCCGGCUCAACCGGGGAGGGUCAUUGGAAACUGGGAAACUUGAGUGCAGAAGAGGAGAGUGGAAUUCCACGCGUAGCGGUGAAAUGCGUAGAGAUGUGGAGGAACGCCAGUGGCGAAGGCGACUCUCUGGUCUGUAACUGACGCUGAGGAGCGAAAGCGUGGGGAGUGAACAGGAUUAGAUACCCGUGUAGUCCCUGUCUCUUAUAC
rnacentral:rRNA from 1 species